GACGAACGCUGGCGGCGUGCUUAACACAUGCAAGUCGAGCGGUAAGGCCCUUUCGGGGGUACACGAGCGGCGAACGGGUGAGUAACACGUGGGUGACCUGCCCUCAGCUCUGGGAUAAGCCUGGGAAACCGGGUCUAAAUACCGGAUAUGACUCCAUGACGCAUGUUGUGGGGUGGAAAGCCUUGUGCGGCUGAGGAUGGGCCCGCGGCCUAUCAGCUUGUUGGUGGGGUGAUGGCCUACCAAGGCGACGACGGGCAGCCGGCCUGAGAGGGCGACCGGCCACACUGGGACUGAGACACGGCCCAGACUCCUACGGGAGGCAGCAGUGGGGAAUAUUGCGCAAUGGGCUAAGCCUGACGCAGCGACGCCGCGU
rnacentral:rRNA from 1 species